UACGGAGGGGGCGAGCGUUAUUCGGAAUUAUUGGGCGUAAAGGGCGCGUAGGCGGCUUGACAAGUCAAAGGUGAAAUCCCUCGGCUCAACUGAGGAACUGCCUUUGAAACUGUCUGGCUUGAGGCCGGGAGGGGGUAGCGGAAUUCCCAGUGUAGCGGUGAAAUGCGUAGAUAUUGGGAGGAACACCUGCGGCGAAGGCGGGUUGCUGGGCUGAUACUGACGCUGAGGCGCGAAAGCCAGGGGAGCGAACGGG
rnacentral:rRNA from 1 species